UACAGGGGGUGCAAACGUUGCUCGGAAUCAUUGGGCGUAAAGCGCACGUAGGCGGUUACUUAAGUCGGAUGUGAAAGCCCUUGGCUCAACCGAGGAAGUGCAUCCGAAACUGAGUAGCUUGAGUACUAAAGAGGGUCGCGGAAUUCCCGGUGUAGAGGUGAAAUUCGUAGAUAUCGGGAGGAACACCGGUGGCGAAGGCGGCGAUCUGGGUCGAUACUGACGCUGAGGUGCGAAAGCGUGGGGAGCAAACAGG
rnacentral:rRNA from 1 species